rnacentral:pre_miRNA from 1 species
UCUUAUGGAUCAACAAAGAAAGUGGUUUCUUGAGAUAGAAUCUACUCCCAGUGAAGAUGCUGUGAA